GACGAACGCUGGCGGCGUGCCUAAUACAUGCAAGUAGAACGCUGAAGGAGGAGCUUGCUUCUCUGGAUGAGUUGCGAACGGGUGAGUAACGCGUAGGUAACCUGCCUGGUAGCGGGGGAUAACUAUUGGAAACGAUAGCUAAUACCGCAUAAGAGUAGAUGUUGCAUGACAUUUGCUUAAAAGGUGCAAUUGCAUCACUACCAGAUGGACCUGCGUUGUAUUAGCUAGUUGGUGGGGUAACGGCUUACCAAGGCGACGAUACAUAGCCGACCUGAGAGGGUGAUCGGCCACACUGGGACUGAGACACGGCCCAGACUCCUACGGGAGGCAGCAGUAGGGAAUCUUCGGCAAUGGACGGAAGUCUGACCGAGCAACGCCGCGUGAGUGAAGAAGGGUUUCGGAUCGUAAAGCUCUGUUGUAAGAGAAGAACGAGUGUGAGAGUGGAAAGUUCACACUGUGACGGUAUCUGACCAGAAAGGGACGGCUAACUACGUG
rnacentral:rRNA from 1 species